rnacentral:lncRNA from 1 species
CGGCGACCCCGUGCCCGUGGGUGAGGCGCCAGGCUGGGGCAUGGACAGGUCCAGGCCUGGGACGGCAGAGGAGCCCUCGGUCUGGAGCUGAGCCCGCCGAGGAGGGGCUGGCCCCGCCGGCAGGGGUCGCCGGAGCCACUCCUGAAGUCCGGGUCUGCUCAGGCCAGGAGCGCGGCAGGUCGGACGCGGGCGGGGACCGCGGACACACUGAGGAGUGCAGCCGCAGGCCGCGGAGGCGGGAGCGGACUUCAGGAGUGUGGGACCUAGCAGGGGCCGGGCUCUGGCAGCCGGCAGCCCCUGGACUCCCGGGGACGGCAGCCAGCCCAUGCUGGUGAGCCUUGAACAGAGCCUUUCUCUUGCCAUCUGUAAGGUGGAAAUUUGAAUUAAAAGGCAUAUGCUGCCAUUAUCUGCUUCUAUGACUUUGGUUUUUCACCAAUUCUUCCAGAACAUCUAAAGAUCUUCUCGAACGGCGUUGUUCUGCAGCAAAGCAAACGGUGCCGGUGGUGUUGUCUCCUGGACCUUCUGAUUUCCCGUUGCAAAACCGAGAGGACUCCCAGACCGCUGCCAUGUCUGUCUCCAGUCUGCCAUGGCUGAAGAAAAAGUCGCAGUCGGUGGACAUGACCGCUCCAGGGUUCAGGCCCUUGGCAGGGGCGGGGAAGCCAGCGCCCCAGGUCGGGAAGGCUGCAGCGCCCAAGACUCCCACCAUCGAGGAGGAGCAGCAGAACACGGCCAAUGCCCAGCACCAGCCACCGCGCCGGAGCGGGCUGCAGAGGUUCUACACCAUCGGUUUGUUUUACUAAGGAAUCACCUGCUGAUAAUGUGGUCAGAUUUUGGAGAAGUCUGUGGACUCAGUCACAGUUCAAGUGCCCAUGACACAAAGAGCAAGCUUCUUAGAGAAAACUGA